rnacentral:rRNA from 1 species
UUCCAGACUCCUACGGGAGGCAGCAGUGGGGGAUAUUGCACAAUGGGGGAAACCCUGAUGCAGCGACGCCGCGUGAGUGAAGAAGUAUUUCGGUAUGUAAAGCUCUAUCAGCAGGGAAGAAAAUGACGGUACCUGACUAAGAAGCCCCGGCUAACUACGUGCCAGCAGCCGCGGUAAUACGUAGGGGGCAAGCGUUAUCCGGAUUUACUGGGUGUAAAGGGAGCGUAGACGGCUGUGCAAGCCAGAUGUGAAAGCCCGGGGCUCAACCCCGGGACUGCAUUUGGAACUGUGUGGCUGGAGUGUCGGAGAGGCAGGCGGAAUUCCUAGUGUAGUGGUGAAAUGCGUAGAUAUUAGGAGGAACACCAGUGGCGAAGGCGGCCUGCUGGACGAUGACUGACGUUGAGGCUCGAAAGCGUGGGGAGCAAACAGGAUUAGAUACCCGAGUA